CAGAUACCAGGCAGAUGUCAAUUACAAGCGAGGACAAGUGCUUCAAUGGAGAACAAAGGAUGUUGAAAGGAAGCUCUAUGCAGAACUGUGCCAGGGCAUCGUGGACAUAGCCAUUUCCAGUGUCUUCCCACCCCCAGAUGUGGAGCAACCUCAGACCCAGCCAGCUGCCUUCAUCAAGCUGUGACGGAGGGCACUCCCUGCUGCCUUGGAAAAAGUACGGGGUCCUGCUCUAGGGAAUGGUGAAAUGACUGGAUUGCUCUUUAUCCAGCCCACAGCAGGGGAAAGAAAGGCAACUCGCAAAGAUGAGAUGGAAGAAGGCACGUGAGCAGAGGAGGCAGCUCCCAAAGAGAGGGCUGCUCAGGGGGCUUCCCAGGUGUAGCUCUCAGCAGUGCUGUUGAGACUUUUGAAAACAACUUUGGUACACAAAGGCAGCUUUGUGAGCAGAGCUCCUUCCCCUCUCCCCGGGAACGGCAGGGCACUGGGACCUCUGGUCGGUGCCUCCCACCCACUGCAGCCCUAGUGCCUUAGCUCCAUGCCCGGCUGCAGCCCCACUGCUCUGGACUAUGGAUUGGACGUCAGAGCAUAUUGGAGGUUGCCUGUGUGUUCCCCGCCCAUCCCUUUGGUAACACUCUGCCACACUAAGCUCUGUACAAGCAUGCACCAACAGUCCUUAGUUUUGUGCUGUGCACUGGCCUCUCGGCAAAGGUGGUUUCCCUCAUCACCUUCCUGAUGGUGUUUGGUCAGUCACCUGUCAGGGUUUGUGCGGGUUGGGCCCCAAAACAGCAUAUGCUGCUCUAAGUCUGCUCUCUGCAUGUUUUAGAAACAAAGUGGCAAGUCUGCCCUGAACCUGUAAGCAUCAAAUAAGCAUGAGAGAGAAAAAAACAUGAUAUAUUGCUUUACUUAAUAGGUUGAAUAUGGUAGGUCUUUGAAAAUAUGAUGAUUCAAUUUUCUCAAUUUUCUUUGCUUUAACCAAAAUUCUAAAUGCAGUUUUGCCUAGUUCCCUUUUUUUUUUUUUUACUUUUUUUUAAACGUUUGUAAAAACCUCUUUGAGGAUCAGGAGUCAGUAAAAUUCCACUCCCCAAGUGGCCCUGCCCCAGACAAAGGUUGCUUUCCCCCUUUUUGUUCUUUUUAUGCCCCCAAGCACUUUCUGCAGUAGCUAGAGGGACAGGUUUCCUUCCAGGAAGGAUUCGAGUUCCUGUGCCUGUAGGUAUUAGGAGAGUAUAUAUCCUGCCUGAAUGGGAAAGUCUUCUAAAAUGGGAAAGAAGUGGUUUCAUCUCCACACAGUGUCUUGUAAAUCUCAACAAAUGUGUACUGUUAGAAGUGGCUUCCACUUACUGGAUUAACUAAUACUUUAUAGGCUUUUCAGGAGGCCACAUCACUAGCAGUAGGGAGAACAAGAUGUCAUUUGUGUUCAGUGUAAGCUGAGUAAACAGGCCCUUCCUAGAGUGUCCUGGAAAUCACAGCAACCCAUUGAAAACUGCCCUCCCCACCAGAACGUGCUAUGUUCUUUCUUCAUGCCUAUGUGUGCUCCAUUCCUCGUUUCUACUUGGCUCAAGAAAACAUUUCUGCAGUCAAGUGAGACUUUUACAAAAGAGGAGAAAAUCAAUGCCUCCUUGAACAUGAUGAGAUGUGAGAACUUACAAUGAAAAAGGCAAUAAUGAUAGAAAUUAUUUCUUAGGUACAGCAAUAGUUGAUAGGAUGUGAGGGUGUUACCUUGGGGUGAAGUGGAGAAGGUCCCAGGUGAACUGGCUCUCAUGGAAAUUUGGAAUUACAAAAUAAACGUCCUGGGGGUUACCCAGAAUACAGAUUUAAAAGUUUGCCUGCAGAGCAAAAUAAAACAGUCAGUUGUAGUCAUUAAUCCUUGAGGCCCAACGCAGCCGACGGGUUGGUGUUUGGGAAAUUCUGAGAUGGGAAUGAGACCUGAUCGGAUCCUGGGGAGACGUACACCCAGUUAGAACGUGUAGGGUUCUGGGUCCUUGGCAAGUCCAGGUGGGCGGGUGACAGGGAAAGGACAGGCAAAGUCCAGGUGGGCGGGUGACAGGGAAAGGACGGGCAUUUUUGUGUUGCUGUCACAUGCUAACAGAGGUUUGUAAUUAUCUUUUGGACCCAAAUUAUAGAGACAUUCACGAGUUUUCUAGCCCUCACAGUAACAGAGCUAAGAAUUCAGAUGUCAGGAAGUCUGUGAAUCUUGAUGGAUUUUCUGAGAAACCUGACUCAAUGGCAUAUAUAAGAGGGAAGUAAGACUUUUAAGAAAAGAAAAAGUUAUGCCUCAUUCCUCAUGUGGCUUCCAA
rnacentral:lncRNA from 1 species